ACGAACGCUGGCGGCGUGCUUCACCCAUGCAAGUCGAACGGAAAGGCCCUGCUUUUGUGGGGUGCUCGAGUGGCGAACGGGUGAGUAACACGUGAGUAACCUGCCCUUGACUUUGGGAUAACUUCAGGAAACUGGGGCUAAUACCGGAUAGGAGCUCCUGCUGCAUGGUGGGGGUUGGAAAGUUUCGGCGGUUGGGGAUGGACUCGCGGCUUAUCAGCUUGUUGGUGGGGUAGUGGCGUACCAAGGCUUUGACGGGUAGCCGGCCUGAGAGGGUGACCGGCCACAUUGGGACUGAGAUACGGCCCAGACUCCUACGGGAGGCAGCAGUGGGGAAUAUUGCACAAUGGGCGGAAGCCUGAUGCAGCAACGCCGCGUGCGGGAUGACGGCCUUCGGGUUGUAAACCGCUUUCGCCUGUGACGAAGCGUGAGUGACGGUAAUGGGUAAAGAAGCACCGGCUAACUACGUG
rnacentral:rRNA from 1 species